rnacentral:rRNA from 1 species
CUACGGGUUGCUGCAGUGGGGAAUAUUGCACAAUGGAGGAAACUCUGAUGCAGCAACGCCGCGUGGAGGAUGACACUUUUCGGAGCGUAAACUCCUUUUAUAUAGGAAGAAGAUGACGGUACUAUAUGAAUAAGCGCCGGCUAACUCCGUGCCAGCAGCCGCGGUAAUACGGAGGGCGCAAGCGUUACUCGGAAUCACUGGGCGUAAAGAGCGUAUAGGCGGAUUAAAAAGUCAGAAGUGAAAUCCUAUAGCUUAACUAUAGAACUGCUUCUGAAACUCUUAAUCUAGAAUAUGGGAGAGGUAGAUGGAAUUUCUGGUGUAGGGGUAAAAUCCGUAGAGAUCAGAAGGAAUACCGAUUGCGAAGGCGAUCUACUAGAACAUUAUUGACGCUGAGACGCAAAAGCGUGGGGAGCAAACAGGAUUAGAUACCCUUGUAGUC